CUGCUCAGUAACACGUAGCUAACCUAACCUUCGGUCAAGAAUAACCUCGGGAAACUGAGGAUAAUACUUGAUAAAAAAUUUUCUCUGGAAUGAAAAAUCUUUGAAAUUCGAGCCUAAGGAUGGGGCUGCGGCUGAUUAGCUAGUUGUUGGUGUAAAAGACUAACAAGGCAAUGAUCAGUAAGGGCUCUUAGCGGAGAGGCCCUGAGAAGGAAUCUGAGACACUAUUCCUAGCUCUACGGGGUGCAGCAGUCGAGGAAAUUUUUCAAUGCCCGCAAGGGUGAACGAGUAAGCCAGAGUGUUUUCUUUACGAAAACUUUUGUCUGUUGUAAAAAGACAGACGAAUAAGGACUGGGCAAGACCGGUGCCAGCCGCCGCGGUAAUCCCGGCGGUCCAAGUCGCAUCCACAAUUAUUGGGUCUAAAACAUCCGUAGCUUGUUUUGUAAGUCUCUUGUGAAAUUUCAUAUCUCAAGUAUGAAGCGUGCAAGAGAUACUACAUUGCUAGAGACUGGAAGACGCAAAGAGUACGACGGAGGUAGCGGUAAAAUGUGUUAAUCUCUGCCGGACUAACAAUGGCGAAGGCACUUUGCGGGUACAGAUCUGACAGUGAGGGAUGAAGGCUAGGGGCGCAAAAGGGAUUAGAUACCCCUGUAGUCCUAGCAGUAAACACUGCUCACUAAACA
rnacentral:rRNA from 1 species